rnacentral:rRNA from 1 species
UAAGACAGAGGGUGCAAACGUUGCUCGGAAUCACUGGGCGUAAAGGGCGUGUAGGCGGACUUGCAAGUCAGGCGUGAAAUCCCUGGGCUCAACCCAGGAAUUGCACUUGAAACUGCAAGCCUUGAGUGUCGGAGAGGAAAGUGGAAUUCCUGGUGUAGAGGUGAAAUUCGUAGAUAUCAGGAGGAACACCGGUGGCGAAGGCGGCUUUCUGGACGACAACUGACGCUGAGACGCGAAAGCGUGGGGAGCAAACAGGAUUAGAUACCCUGGUAGUCCACGCUGUAAACGAUGAACACUAGGUGUCGUGGGUAUUGACCCCCGCGGUGCCGCAGCUAACGCAUUAAGUGUUCCGCCUGGGAAGUACGGUCGCAAGACUA